UAUAACGCAUCCGCUUGUUACUUUUGCGCUCUACACGAUGACAAGCACAGUAAAACCGCGAACCUAAAAUGUUGUAUCUGUGUGCCCAAAACUGACUACAGUUCCAAUCUGCUACUUUACUUCUGACAGAAUAUCAAUUUGAAACAAAUAUUACUUUGCACAAAGAUAAAUUUAUGCAGAAACUUACUUUAUAAUUGAUAAUGGAGGCAUGCCUGGGUCAGCACCUUUUCUAAAUCCUAAAAGAACUCACCACAUUAUUGCAUUUGGGGAUUAUGUGAAUCACAGCAAUAUUGUUGUGGUGACAAUGUUUGCUGUAAUGAAACUGAUUUUAAUUUUUUAUUUUUAACGGCUAUCAUUUUUGGAACAGUUGCCAUUCUCACAUUAUGCUGUAU